rnacentral:rRNA from 1 species
UACGUAGGAGGCAAGCGUUGUCCGGAUUCACUGGGCGUAAAGGGCGCGCAGGCGGCUCAUUUUGUCAGGCGUGAAAGCCCCGGGCUUAACCUGGGAACUGCGUUUGAUACGGAUGGGCUAGAGUUCGGGAGAGGAGAGUGGAAUUCCCAGUGUAGAGGUGAAAUUCGUAGAUAUUGGGAAGAACACCGGUGGCGAAGGCGGCUCUCUGGACCGAGACUGACGCUGAGGCGCGAAAGCGUGGGGAGCAAACAGG